CUGAAUAACUGGAAUGAUCACAAGAACCUAGCCUACUCGACAUACUGUUAAAAUUCUGCUCUAUCAAAAUUCGAUGGUAAUUUAUUUCCGUGUACGGGUUAUCACAUUCUGACCAAAAUUUCGGGUUCAUUGCGGAGAGGUUGCCCGAGAAAGGGCUACCACAUCCAAGGAAGGCAGCAGGCGCGCAAAUUACCCACUCUCACCCCGAGGAGGUAGUGAUGAAAAAUAACUAGACGGUUCUCUAUGAGGCCCGUCAUCGGAAUGGGUACAAUUUAAACCCUUUAACGAGGAUCUAUUGGAGGGCAAGUCUGGUGCCAGCAGCCGCGGUAAUUCCAGCUCCAAUAGCAUAUACCAAUUCUGUUGCUGUUAAAAA
rnacentral:rRNA from 1 species